AUAUAUAUAUAUAUAUAUAUAUAUAUAUACAUACAAUAUAUAUAUACCCCCACACAACAUACAUAUUAAGUAUAUAUCAUGUAUACGUAGCAUCCCACACAAUGCAUAACUUAAAUCACUUAAUUAUUCAAUCACAGUAGGAACAAACUAACUGUAACCAUUCAGGAUCUAAUAUGGUACUCAGGUACCAGCACAUGAGAGCUAAGGGUUGAGAAAUAUCCAAGAUGAGGACAGUGCGUGUCAAGAAGCUGACUUAACCUGAUGAGAAACAAUGUGACACAGAUGAGGGAUCUUCUCUGAAUGUGUGGAUGGGGAAGAGAGUCAACUUGAACCUCUUUAUCACAGUAGAGCAGUAAGGAGGACCUCCUCGCGUGUCCGGAGACUUACUGAGCCUCUGCCUGAACCUGUCUAUCGUCGCUGCGUCAACUUACGUCCAGACGCAAGUUUGUGCGAGACUAAUGGACUCACUGAAGCUUUCGCAAAGUAUCCCAGUAACGGGUGGGGAAAACAACGUUCAUUCAACGUCAGUAACAAUGAUUCAACGUUUAUUCAACGUCAAUAACAAUGAUUCAACGUUGACUCAGUGUUGUUUGGCCCACUGGGAAGACGUUUGCUCAGUGUGACACCCGCGUUCCAAUCUCCCUACUUCGUAAAACCCAUUUCCUACAGAGGCCGAAGCUGAGGUCCUGCAGACGAGAGCUCACAAUCUUAUGCAACUCAUCUAAUUUCUGUGUAAUGAAUUUAAAUACUGGAUUUAAAUAACGUCGACAUAUGCCAGUAAAUAAAAUCAAUAAUACCGUU